AUUGAACGCUGGCGGCAGGCCUAACACAUGCAAGUCGAGCGAGCGGCGGACGGGUGAGUAAUGUAUGGGGACUGCCCGAUAGAGGGGGAUAACUACUGGAAACGGUGGAUAAUACCGCAUACUAUCGGAUAACCCAUAUGGGAUUCGCUAGUAGGUGGGGUAAAGGCUAACCUAGGCGACGAUCACUAGCUGGUCUGAGAGGAUGCUCGCCCACACUGGGACUGAGACACGGCCCAGACUCCUACGGAGGCAGCGGUGGGGAAUAUUGCAAAAUGGGGGCAAGCCUGAUGAGGCCAUGCCGCGUGUAUGAAGAAGGCCUUAGGGUUGUAAAGUACUUUCAGCGGGGAGGCGUUACCCGCAGAAGAAGCACCGGCUAACUCCGUGCCAGCAGCCGCGGUAAAC
rnacentral:rRNA from 1 species